CACGUAGGGCGCGAGCGUUGUCCGGAAUUAUUGGGCGUAAAGGGCUCGUAGGCGGUUUGUUGCGUCGAAAGUGAAAAUCCGGGGCUUAACUCCGGACUUGCUUUCGAUACGGGCAGACUAGAGGUAGGCAGGGGAGAGUGGAAUUCCUGGUGUAGCGGUGGAAUGCGCAGAUAUCAGGAGGAACACCGGUGGCGAAGGCAGCUCUCUGGGCCUUACCUGGCGCUGAGGAGCGAAAGCGUGGGGAGCGAACAGG
rnacentral:rRNA from 1 species